rnacentral:rRNA from 1 species
AUGUUUGAUGUUCUAACCUGGCCCCGUGAUCCGGGGUAGGGACAGUGUCUGGUGGGUAGUUUGACUGGGGCGGUCUCCUCCCAAAGAGUAACGGAGGAGCACGAAGGUUAGCUAAUCCUGGUCGGACAUCAGGAGGUUAGUGCAAAGGCAUAAGCUAGCUUGACUGCGAGAGUGACGGCUCGAGCAGGUGCGAAAGCAGGUCUUAGUGAUCCGGUGGUUCUGAAUGGAAGGGCCAUCGCUCAACGGAUAAAAGGUACUCCGGGGAUAACAGGCUGAUACCGCCCAAGAGUUCAUAUCGACGGCGGUGUUUGGCACCUCGAUGUCGGCUCAUCACAUCCUGGGGCUGAAGUAGGUCCCAAGGGUAUGGCUGUUCGCCAUUUAAAGUGGUACGCGAGCUGGGUUUAGAACGUCGUGAGACAGUUCGGUCCCUAUCUGCCGUGGGCGUUGGAAGAUUGAGAGGGGCUGCUCCUAGUACGAGAGGACCGGAGUGGACGCACCGCUGGUGUUCGGGUUGUGAUGCCAAUUGCAUUGCCCGGUAGCUACGUGCGGAAAAGAUAAGCGCUGAAAGCAUCUAAGCGCGAAACUUGCCUCGAGAUGAGUCUU